rnacentral:rRNA from 1 species
CGUAUCACCCAAGACAACUUUACGGAGUUGACGAUUGACGGAGCGAAGCGACGUCAAAGCGUUCAUUAAAGUCGAGUUGGCUUAGGGAUACGUUCGUUGGGUAGGGGAGCGUUCUGUAAGCCUGUGAAGGUGGCCUGUGAGGGUUGCUGGAGGUAUCAGAAGUGCGAAUGCUGACAUAAGUAACGAUAAAGCGGGUGAAAAGCCCGCUCGCCGGAAGACCAAGGGUUCCUGUCCAACGUUAAUCGGGGCAGGGUGAGUCGACCCCUAAGGCGAGGCCGAAAGGCGUAGUCGAUGGGAAACGGGUUAAUAUUCCCGUACUUGGUGUUACUGCGAAGGGGGGACGGAGAAGGCUAUGUUGGCCGGGCGACGGUUGUCCCGGUUUAAGCGUGUAGGUGUGUGUUCCAGGUAAAUCCGGUUCACUUUAACACUGAGGCGUGACGACGAGGCACUACGGUGCUGAAGCAACAAAUGCCCUGCUUCCAGGAAAAGCCUCUAAGCAUCAGGUAACAUCAAAUCGUACCCCAAACCGACACAGGUGGUCAGGUAGAGAAUACCAAGGCGCUUGAGAGAACUCGGGUGAAGGAACUAGGCAAAAUGGUGCCGUAACUUCGGGAGAAGGCACGCUGACACGUAGGUGAAGUGAUUUACUCAUGGAGCUGAAGUCAGUCGAAGAUACCAGCUGGCUGCAACUGUUUAUUAAAAACACAGCACUGUGCAAACACGAAAGUGGACGUAUACGGUGUGACGCCUGCCCGGUGCCGGAAGGUUAAUUGAUGGGGUCAGCGCAAGCGAAGCUCCUGAUCGAAGCCCCGGUAAACGGCGGCCGUAACUAUAACGGUCCUAAGGUAGCGAAAUUCCUUGUCGGGUAAGUUCCGACCUGCACGAAUGGCGUAAUGAUGGCCAGGCUGUCUCCACCCGAGACUCAGUGAAAUUGAACUCGCUGUGAAGAUGCAGUGUACCCGCGGCAAGACGGAAAGACCCCGUGAACCUUUACUAUAGCUUGACACUGAACAUUGAGCCUUGAUGUGUAGGAUAGGUGGGAGGCUUUGAAGUGUGGACGCCAGUCUGCAUGGAGCCGACCUUGAAAUACCACCCUUUAAUGUUUGAUGUUCUAACGUGGACCCGUGAUCCGGGUUGCGGACAGUGUCUGGUGGGUAGUUUGACUGGGGCGGUCUCCUCCUAAAGAGUAACGGAGGAGCACGAAGGUUGGCUAAUCCUGGUCGGACAUCAGGAGGUUAGUGCAAUGGCAUAAGCCAGCUUGACUGCGAGCGUGACGGCGCGAGCAGGUGCGAAAGCAGGUCAUAGUGAUCCGGUGGUUCUGAAUGGAAGGGCCAUCGCUCAACGGAUAAAAGGUACUCCGGGGAUAACAGGCUGAUACCGCCCAAGAGUUCAUAUCGACGGCGGUGUUUGGCACCUCGAUGUCGGCUCAUCACAUCCUGGGGCUGAAGUAGGUCCCAAGGGUAUGGCUGUUCGCCAUUUAAAGUGGUACGCGAGCUGGGUUUAGAACGUCGUGAGACAGUUCGGUCCCUAUCUGCCGUGGGCGCUGGAGAACUGAGGGGGGCUGCUCCUAGUACGAGAGGACCGGAGUGGACGCAUCACUGGUGUUCGGGUUGUCAUGCCAAUGGCACUGCCCGGUAGCUAAAUGCGGAAGAGAUAAGUGCUGAAAGCAUCUAAGCACGAAACUUGCCCCGAGAUGAGUUCUCCCUGAGACUUUAAGUCUCCUGAAGGAACGUUGAAGACGACGACGUUGAUAGGCCGGGUGUGUAAGCGCAGCGAUGCGUUGAGCUAACCGGUACUAAUGAACCGUGAGGCUUAACCUUACAACGCCGAAG